UGUCUGUUUCUAUUUCUUUUUCGUAUUUUUUCUUUGUCUCUUUCUUAUUCUAAAUACUUUUCCAAUUCUUUUGCCAAUUCUUUAACUAGUUCUAUUUCUUCUGCACUUCAUAGUUCAUUACCUAUUUUUUUCCAGUUUGAAUUCUUUUUCCAAUACACUUUCUCUUUCUAAUUCUGUUCAUGUUUCUGAUUCUAAACCCUCAGGUGUGAGCCUGAGGCAGUAACGGAGCACCUGGUGGGGGUGUGAACAGCCCAGGGAGCACAGGUGGAAGCAAUUCCCCUGUGGGCUGGGAUAGGGAGGAGCCAGAGCCCACCCUGAGCUCAUUUGAAGGCUGGCAGCUGAAGGGAAACGGUCUGUGCCUGGAGGUUGCUCUGGCUGUUUGGCUGGGUGAGUGCUGAGGCUUGGGAAGGGCUGAGUUGUUGUUGUUGUUCUUUCUUAGCUUGAUGCUGAUCUGUUUGUUUUUGGUUCAGUGUUGAGCAGAAGGUUCUGGACACCAGGACUCCUUUCAAGCGGUGUGAGGACUCCACUGAGGGCCUUGGUGGACACAGCAGGAAGCCACAGCCAAGGCUGAACACCAACAUCCACACUUGAUCUUGUCGGGCAAGGUCUAUUGCUCGCAGAGAGCGUUUUUGCUCUUCUGGCCAUUUGAUGGAAUUGGUGUCAGUUUCUACUCAUGAUCACUGGGCUUUCCAAGGGUGUUCUCCUUACUUGACACCACCUUUCCCACUCUCCAUUUCCAAGCAGGGGCUCCCCUUGGCCUCCGUUUCUCGCUCUGGCCAGGCAGAUGUGGUGUGCCAACGGUAUGCAGAGUGCAGACCCUGAGCAGAAGAACAACUGAGGAGAGAGGCUGCCCUGGGUGAGACAGGAGAAGUGCCCCUUGGAGUGGGGGACGCCCUGCUGGCACUGCCUCUCGCAUCCACCGGCAGCACGUUCCUUCUCUCUCCUUGGCACCCAGCGCUUUGCCGUCUCCCAGGGCUCACCAAGUCCAAAUGUUCCCUGAUGGAGUCCAACUCCAGCUUGACCAACACUCACCCAGUCUGUCUCCGCACCAGCUGGCUUAGGGCUCUCCAGCACUGCUGGCUGUCCAUGCCUUCUGUCGCUCCCAAUCAGCAUGGCUCUGUUCUUUGUCUUUUGGGUUCCAGAGUGUUUGCUACAGGUAUGGAGUGUUUCUCUUCUCUCUCUUCUUGUCUUCCAUGUAGCCCGUUGUUGCCUCGGUGGAGUUUUAGUGACCCAAAUGCAGACUGCUCUGUGUUGACCAAGUGUGAUGCCAAAAGAAGAGCUAGGCUUGAAAGCAGGCUGCUGGUGAGUGCUGUGCAUGACUUGGGAUUCCUAGAAUGCCCCUUCUUUCUUAGUAACCCGUGUUGUUCAGCACCAAACCUGAAGGUUUCUUCUUUUCUUCCAGGACGGGAGACUCUACCACCAGGAGCCGUUGUCAUUCCUGACCUCCCCGGGUUGCAGCAUUGGACGUGCCCUGAUCCUUGGGAAGAAGUUAGAGAGCUGUAUUUCGUUUUCAGAAGGUGGUCAUUACUUACCUUGUCUUGUGUCCAUCAGGUGGCAGUGGAGAGUUGUGACCCUCCCAAGCGGUGCAAGGGCUCUACUGAGGCUCUUGGUGGAUGCUGCAGGAACCCGCACGCACAGAUGGAUGCCAAGAUCUGCUCCUUGCUCUGUCUGGCAAGCUCUGCUGACCCCUGAGGUUGUUUCCAUACUUGCAGAGGUCCUACGGGCUUGGUGUUGGUUGUCGCUUGUGCUCACCUUGCUGUCACCGAGUGUUCUUCCUUUGUCCAUCAUAGGGGUCCCCCGUUCUGAUGGGAUCUCCAUGCCUUCUGUUGAUCCCAGAGUACUUCAAUUUGUUCUUUGAUUUUCAGGUUCUGUACCAUUUCAUGCUUUUGUGAUCUGUUUUUCUUCCUUUUGUUUUACAGGCUGGAACUGUACACUUGGUUGGAUCUACGAUGACCCAAAUGCAAUCUGGUUAGGUUAGGCCAUGUGUGGUGGGAAAGGAAGAGGUAGGCUCCUAAGCAAAAUUCUGGUGAGGGCUCUGUUUCAUUUGGGGUUUUCUGGGAUGCCCGCUACUCCUCCCUACCCCAUUUUGUUCAUUACUGUGUGUGAAGGAUUCUUUUUUCCUUCUAGGAUUGGGGACACCAGCACCAGAUGCUCUUGCACUUCCUGACCUCCCUGGGUGACAGCGUUGGAAGUGCCUGCACGCUUGGAAAGGGCUAAGUGAUUCCUUCAUCAUUACCAGAAUGUAGUCUGUGUUCAACAGGUGAUGGUGGAGAACAGUGGCCUUCUGCUCAGCGCAAAAAGGCUACUGAGGAUCUAGGUGGAUAGAACAGGAGUGCAGAGCCAUAGGUGGACGCCAAGACGCACUCCUUCCUCUGUCUGGCAAGCUCUGCUGACCCCUGAGGUCGUACCCACGCUUGCAGAGGUCCUAUGGGUUUGGUGUAGGUUGUGCCUUGUGCUCACUUGGCUUUCACCGGGUGCUGUUGCCUUAUAAUAUUUUUCCCAUUCUCUAUUUCCAAACAGGAGGUCCCCUUGGCCUCCGUGUCUUGCUCUGGCCAGGCAGAUGUGGUGUGCCAACGGUACGUGGAGUCCAGACCCUGAGCAAAAGAACAGCUGAGGAGAGAGGCUGCCCUGGGUGAGACAGGAGAAGUGCCCCUUGAAGCGGGGGACGCUCCGCUGGCACUGCCUCUCGCAUCCACCGGCAGCACGUUCCUUCUCUCUCCUUGGUGCCCGGUGCUUUGCCAUCUCCCAGGGCUCGCCAAGUCCAAAUAUUCCCUGAUGGAGUCCAACUCCAGCUUGACCAACACUCACCCGGUCUGUCCCCGCACCAGCUGGCUAAAGGCUCCCCAGCAUUGCUGGCUGUCGGUGCCUUCUGUCGCUCCCAAUCAGCAUGGCUCAGUUCUUUGCCUUUUGGGUUCCAGAGUGUUUGCUACAGGUUAUGGAGUGUUUCUCUUCUCUCUCUUCUUGUCUUCCAUGUAGCCCGUUGUUGCCUCGGUGGAGUUUCAGUGACCCAAAUGCAGACUGCUCUGCGUUGACCAAGCACGAUGCCAAGAGAAGAAGCAGGCACCAGAACAGGCUGCUGGUGAAUGCUGUGCGUGCCUUGGGGUUCUUAGAAUGACUUGCGUUCCUCCCUAACCUGUGUUUUUCAGUACUACUAUUGAGGGUUUUAACUUUGAUUCUAGGAUAGGAGACUCUGCUGUCAGAUGGCGUUGCCUGUUCUUCUCUCCCCAGUUUGCAGAGUUGGAUGUGACCUCAGCAUUGGUUAAGGGGUAAGUGAUUCCUUCACCCUGACCAGAAGGUAAUCUCUACUUGUCUUGUGCUGUGUGGAACAGGUUGCAGUGGAGAAGUGCAGUUGUCUGGGGCGCUGCAAGGACUCUAUUGAGGCAUUUGGUGGACGCAGCAGGAACCCACAGCCAGAGAUGGACGCCAAGAUGCACUCCUUCUUCUGUCUGGCAAGCUCUGCUGACCCCUGAGGUCGUUCCCACGCUUGCAGAUGUCCUACGGGCUUGGUGUUGGUUGUCACUUGUGCUCACCAUGCUGUCACCGGGUGUUCUUCCUUUACCCAUCUUAGGGCUCCCCAGUUCUGGUGGGAUCUCCGUACCCUCUGCUGAUCCCAGAGAACAUGGGUUUGUUCUCUUAUCUUCAGAUUAAGUAUGUUUUCCUGCUGUUAUGCGAUGUCUGUCUUAGUUUUUAUUUUUUUUUCUGGGCUGCCUAUUGGUACAUCCUCAGUCUGCAAUAAACCAAAUGAUUUCUGGUAAGGUUUGACCAAAUGAGAUGGAAAAUGAAGUGGUAAGCUCCAAAACAGGCUCGCAGUGAGUGUUUCCUAUGACUUGGGGUUUCUAGCUUGACCUCUGUGUUGUUGGUUUUUUUUUUUUUUUUUUUUGUAAGCCAUUUGGUUCAGUACCUAAUAUGAAAGUUUCUUUCCUUCUAGUAUUGGAGACUUAUCCAGCACAUGGUGAUGCCUUUCCUGACCUCCUUGAUUGCAGUGUGGGAUGUGCCCUGGUCCUUGGAAAGGGGUGAGUGAUUCCUGCAUCCUUACUAGAAGGUAAUCUCUACUUACUUUUUCUUGUGUCCAACAGGUGGCACUGGAGAGUUGUGACCCUGCUGAGCAGUUCAAGGACUCUACUGAGGCUCUUGGUGGACUCAGCAGGAACCCACACCCAUAGGUGGGAUGCCAAUAUCUAUUCCUUCCUCUGUCUGGCAAGCUCUGGUGUCCCUUGAGGUUGUU
rnacentral:lncRNA from 7 species